GUGGGUAUAGCUUAGUGGUAGAGCGCAUGCAUGGCAUGCAUGAGGUCCUGGGUUCAAUUCCCAGUAUACUUC
rnacentral:tRNA from 1 species